GCGAAGGUGGCGAAUUGGUAGACGCGCUAGCUUCAGGUGUUAGUGUUCUUACGGACGUGGGGGUUCAAGUCCCCCCCCUCGCACCA
rnacentral:tRNA from 2 species